CUUAUCUCGUGAUUGGAGGGGAACUGCUAUAACCACACUGGGGAUUGCUCUACUUUGUUUACUCCCCUGGGCACUAAUCACUUAGCUCUUUUACGAGCUGUUCCUGAUACGCUCUCCUGGUUGAGAGGUCUUUCCCACAUGGUCCUGGAAGUCGGAGUUUCAUACAGGGUGGAAGGAAGACUCCAGUUAAGCUACGGUGGUUGCGGAGUCUGCGGUGGUUGUGGUGUCCGGUGCGGUGC